rnacentral:tRNA from 1 species
AUUUAGAUAUUCUAUUAGGAUAGUAAUUUGUGGUGUUACUGGUGAAUAUUCUCUAAAUU